rnacentral:rRNA from 1 species
GACGAACGCUGGCGGCGUGCCUAAUACAUGCAAGUCGAACGAACCGCGACUAGGUGCUUGCACUUGGUCAAGGUGAGUGGCGAACGGGUGAGUAACACAUGGGUAACCUACCUCAUAGUGGGGGAUAACAGUCGGAAACGACUGCUAAUACCGCAUAGGACAUAGGAUCACAUGAUUCUGUGAGGAAAGGUGGCGCAAGCUAUCGCUAAGAGAUGGACCCGCGGUGCAUUAGCUAGUUGGUAGGGUAAAGGCCUACCAAGGCGAUGAUGCAUAGCCGACCUGAGAGGGUGAUCGGCCACAUUGGGACUGAGACACGGCCCAAACUCCUACGGGAGGCAGCAGUAGGGAAUCUUCCGCAAUGGACGCAAGUCUGACGGAGCAACGCCGCGUGAGUGAAGAAGGUCUUCGGAUCGUAAAGCUCUGUUGUUAGAGAAGAACAGCGCAUAGAGUAACUGUUAUGCGUGUGACGGUAUCUAACCAGAAAGCCACGGCUAACUACGUG